ACUGGCAGGCUAGAGUCUUGUAGAGGGGGGUAGAAUUCCAGGUGUAGCGGUGAAAUGCGUAGAGAUCUGGAGGAAUACCGGUGGCGAAGGCGGCCCCCUGGACAAAGACUGACGCUCAGGUGCGAAAGCGUGGGGAGCAAACAGGAUUAGAUACCCUGGUAGUCCACGCCGUAAACGAUGUCGAUUUGGAGGUUGUGCCCUUGAGGCGUGGCUUCCGGAGCUAACGCGUUAAAUCGACCGCCUGGGGAGUACGGCCGCAAGGUUAAAACUCAAAUGAAUUGACGGGGGCCCGCACAAGCGGUGGAGCAUGUGGUUUAAUUCGAUGCAACGCGAAGAACCUUACCUGGUCUUGACAUCCA
rnacentral:rRNA from 1 species